rnacentral:lncRNA from 1 species
GAACGCCGACGACUGGGCCACGCAGGGCGGCCGCGUGAAGACGGACUGGUCCCACGCCCCCUUCUCCGCCUCCUACCGGAACUUCAGGGCCGACGCCUGCGUCGCCGUCGCCGGCGGCAAGACCCGCUGCGGCGCCACCGUCGGCACCGAGGGCUCCGCCGGCGCCGCCGCCGGCGACUGGUACAACCAGGAGCUCGACCUCACCCUGCAGCAGCGCAUGCGCUGGGUGCAGCGCAAGUACAUGAUCUACAACUACUGCACCGACCCCAAGCGCUACGCGCAGGGCCUCCCCGCCGAGUGCUCCAUGCAGCAGUAGCCCUCUGCAUCAAGCUCCGCUGCAAUGGCGGCGGCUGCAUCGAUCACCGCCCGGAUCAGGACGAAAGGGCAUGGAAUUUCUUUCCAUGGUGGCGUCGUCAGUGUGGUAAAUAAAUAAGGAUUUGGCAAUUCGUGGGACUUGUAAC